rnacentral:rRNA from 1 species
GAGUUUGAUCGUGGCUCAGAGUGAACGCUGGCGGUAGGCCUAACACAUGCAAGUCGAACGGCAGCACAGUAAGAGCUUGCUCUUACGGGUGGCGAGUGGCGGACGGGUGAGGAAUACAUCGGAAUCUACUUUUUCGUGGGGGAUAACGUAGGGAAACUUACGCUAAUACCGCAUACGACCUACGGGUGAAAGCAGGGGAUCUUCGGACCUUGCGCGAUUGAAUGAGCCGAUGUCGGAUUAGCUAGUUGGCGGGGUAAAGGCCCACCAAGGCGACGAUCCGUAGCUGGUCUGAGAGGAUGAUCAGCCACACUGGAACUGAGACACGGUCCAGACUCCUACGGGAGGCAGCAGUGGGGAAUAUUGGACAAUGGGCGCAAGCCUGAUCCAGCCAUACCGCGU